AUUGAACGCUGGCGGCAUGCCUUACACAUGCAAGUCGAACGGUAACGCGGGGCAACCUGGCGACGAGUGGCGAACGGGUGAGUAAAGCAUCGGAACGUGCCCAGUAGUGGGGGAUAGCCCGGCGAAAGCCGGAUUAAUACCGCAUACGACCUAUGGGUGAAAGGGGGGGAUCGCAAGACCUCUCGCUAUUGGAGCGGCCGAUGUCAGAUUAGGUAGUUAGUGGGGUAAAGGCCUACCAAGCCGACGAUCUGUAGCUGGUCUGAGAGGACGACCAGCCACACUGGGACUGAGACACGGCGCAGACUCCUACGGGAGGCAGCAGUGGGGAAUUUUGGACAAUGGGCGCAAGCCUGAUCCAGCCAUGCCGCGUGCGGGAAGAAGGCCUUCGGGUUGUAAACCGCUUUUGUCAGGGAAGAAAUCCUUUGGGUUAAUACCUCGGGGGGAUGACGGUACCUGAAGAAUAAGCACCGGCUAACUACGUGCCAGCAGCCGCAGUAAGAC
rnacentral:rRNA from 1 species